GAACGCGAAGAACCUUACCAGGUCUUGACAUUGAUGGACGAAACAAGAGAUUGUUUUUCUCCUUCGGGAGCCAGAAAACAGGUGGUGCACGGCUGUCGUCAGCUCGUGUCGUGAGAUGUUGGGUUAAGUCCCGCAACGAGCGCAACCCCUAUCUUAUGUUGCCAGCACUUCGGGUGGGAACUCAUGAGAGACUGCCGCAGACAAUGCGGAGGAAGGCGGGGAUGACGUCAAGUCAUCAUGCCCCUUACGACCUGGGCUACACACGUACUACAAUGGGCUUUAAUAGAGGGAAGCGAAGCCGCGAGGUGGAGCAAACCCCAGAAACAAGCUCUCAGUUCGGAUCGUAGGCUGCAACUCGCCUACGUGAAGUCGGAAUCGCUAGUAAUCGCAGGUCAGCAUACUGCGGUGAAUACGUUCCCGGGUCUUGUACACACC
rnacentral:rRNA from 1 species